rnacentral:tRNA from 1 species
CUCCCCUUAACUUAAUGGUAAAGUGGUUUACUUUUAAUUUACCAAUACGGGUUCGAUUCCCUUAACUGUCA